AUUCUCUCUCUCUCUUUCUCUCUCUCUCCCUCCCUCUCCCUGCCCCUCCCCUGCUUGUGCUGUCUCUCUCUCUGUCUCUGUCUCUCAAAAAUAAACUUAAAAAAAAAUUUUAAAGAUAAAAUUAAAAUGCCUCAGUGACAGAAGCACCAUCAACAGCAGAAGCAAAUAUUUACUGAAUUUGAUCAAAGUGCCCAAACUGAGGAAAUGUGAACACUGGGAAAGAAGGUUCUAGUUCAAACUUCCUAGACUUUUUUUUUUUUUUUUUAAGAAAACAGACAUCUCCAAAGAGACUUUUAUGUUCUAAGGGACAAACAAAAUCGUAGUAAAUUAAAUGUGUACUGUUUAUUUCAGCUGGCACAUUAACUAUAUAAUGUGAUGUCUCCAAGCAAGGUGGUUGGCUCUCUUUACAUGCUAGAAUAAUUAAUGAUUUAUGUACCUGACCAUCUUUUCAUAAUCCUUUACACAAGCAUGUGUAUUUAUGACUGUUUUAGAAAACUUUGAGGAUAAUUUUACUAUUGAAAGGGAUUAUAAAUUUUUUGCCAUUGUGACUGUGCUUGUUUAAGCAUAUCUAAAAUUCUUCUGAAGUCAAAUACUUUUUCAGCUAGAACAGUGAGGCAUUGUGGCAAAAUAGGCUGGGGGGCUUGCCAGGUUUAUUUGCUAAAAAUGGGACAUGUGUUUAUUUGGUCCCUCAAGGUUGGAACUCAGAAAUCACCUUAUCCAGUGAUUAUCAACAGGGGCACUGAUGCCAUAUUGAGUGUGAUCAUUUUCCAUUGUUUAGGACUAUCUUGAGCAUUGUCAGGGGAUUUAGUACCCCAGGCCCACCUGCACCAAAUGCCACUUGAAUCAUCUAGAAAUUUGGACAACACACGCCCACAAUGGGGUGUGCCAUGGGGGACUGCCCUUGGGUGAGAAACACUGAUCAAUCCAAUGACCCAUGAAUGGGCUGCACAGGUCCCCUUCCACCAUCCUCUAAAGAUAACAGGUCAGCCCGGCUUUUCUGCCAUGCACCCACACCUCCAGUGAUGAAGAAAUCACCACCUCCUAAAGCCACAUUUGAACUCUACUCAUUAUUAAAAUGCUAUUUUUUGUGACAUAACUCCCCCCCCCCCCCCAUUUCCAUCAUUAGCCUUUGGUCUGUAACACAGACCUCUUUGUUUCUCAUCCUCUUCCACAUGAAUGCCCUUCAGUCUUUGAGAGUAGCCAUUGUGUUCCUGCUGUCCCAUGACAACCUCCCACCCCUCCUGGAAACUUACUGUGUCAUUGUACAUAGUUUUGCACUUCAUGGCAAAGCACUUUUUGUAUUACCUCAUUUAAUUUUCACACCAUGAUGUAGGGGUGAUCAUUUCCUCUUCACAGGGAAUGAAAUGGAGUUUCAGACCCAAUGACUGACCCAAGGCUGCACUGUUGGUCACUGGUCAAGCAGGAACAUGAAUCUAGUUCUUAUGCAAAUUCAGUACCUGUCACACUUCUCCCAGUGUUCACUAAAUUUUGUCCAGUCUCUCCCUUUCCAAUGCCUUCUUUCUUUCCAUCUCCACCUCUGCUUGUCUCCCAUCAUAGAAGGCAUGAUGGCCCCAAUUUUUUACCCUUUUUGUAUUUGCAUCCUUUACCAUAUUGCUUUGCAUUUCUUCCUAGCAACAGGUGGAAUAUAUUUCUCAGCUCUUGAUUUUGGGUUCAAUAGAAUGAAGUGAAAAUGUCAUUAUACCAGUUCUGAUAUUAGGCCUCAAGAAGCCUUGUAUGUUCCCACUUGUUCUUUUGCAUUUCUGCCUUCAUUAGACACAAGGAGCAGAGCCGCCUCAGCUGUCCUAUUUAGAUUAGGUGACCCCCAGCCAACCCAGAGACUUGCAAGAAAAAAACAAUUGGUUUUAUUUAACUUAUUGAGUUUGGAAUUAUUUGUUAUGCAGCGGUUGCUAACUGAUACAUUUCUUCAACCUUCAGAAAACAAAGACUUCCCUUUACCCACUGUUUUUCUUUCCCUCAUUACUUGAAAGCCUGUACUAGCUUUCUUAACAUCUUCAUCUUUUGUUUCACAAACCACUGCUACCUUCUGCUCCACUCUCCCUGUGAGAAGGGGCCCCCAACUUCUAAUGGCCAAACACUACAUGGUCCUGACAGCCUUUAGCGCCUUGAAUCAUCCUGCCCUUCUGUAACUCCUUCUUUGGUUUUCAUGACACUUCCUGUGUUUCUCAUCUCUCUUUUCUCCUGUCAGGAGUCUCCUCUCUGCCCUUGUUGCCUCUUGCUUUCCUUCUCUCUCCCCAGGGACCCUAGCCUCUCUCAUGACUUCAAGGACCACAAAAGUAUCAACAGCUGUUUGUAACCCCAUGUCUCUUCAACAUUCCAGCUGUGUGUGCAUGUCUGUUUCACAGCUCCUGCAGGGGGUACUGAUGGUUUCACACAGGAAAUGAUUGCAGGUGGAGUGGAGGAGGAGUGGCAUAGGAAGAGAUCAGUGGUCAGGACUCCAGACCAGAAGGUACUGCAAGAAUCCAGGCAAGAGGUGAUGUGGCCAGGCUCAGAUGUCAGAGUCACCAGAAACCCUUGAUUGAGCACCUGUGCUUCCUCCUGCAAAGCUGCAGUUUUGUUUUUGGACUCAGGUACAGGACUUCACAUUUAUCCUUCUUAAAUCUAUUCAUGGUUAGCUUUGGCCCAGUACUGCAACCUGUCACACUCCUUGUUAAUUCUAUUAUACCCACUUAAUUAGGCAUCCCUCCUGGACCGAUGUCAAUCAGUCAUUUGGUCAAUGUGUUACUUGUAUCCCACUCAAGGCACAGAUAACACUGAAAAGAAAGGUUCUGGCAGGAAGAAUACAGCAAUACCUGUUAUUUGUUUUAGCUACCAAAUGGCUGCAUGACCCAGAAAUUGAUGCAGGUGUGGCUGGUAAGUGAAACUAGAAUUUGAGUAUUAUUGGAUGUUUGGGGAUUUGGAAUUGGGGGGUGGGGCAGAGGAAUAUGGAGGGGACAUGGAAGGACAGCAUGACUCACUGGAACUGUAUAUGGUUGUAGCAUCAGCCAGCAAGGAGUAGGAGGUUGGCAGGGGAGAAGGACACCAAGAAGUGCUUUUGGAACACUUCUGUGGUGCAAUAGGGAGCCAUAGAAGGUUGUAACAGGACAGAAUCAUAUUUGUACCCUUAAACAAUCACUCCAGCAUCAGUGUGGAGAAUUCAUCCGUGUGGAGUGAUGGCUGGUGGUUGGAUCAAAAUGAGAAACUAUGAGGAUAUGAGCAAAGGUGACAUUUGUAGGGAAUGAGAAGAGGGGAGAGAGAAUGUGACUGAAUUGAGCAGAAAGAGGGCAGAGUUGCAGGGAGUUAGCAGGAUCAGCCUAGAGGUGGUGCCACAGGAAGUAAUAGGGGAAAGACACAAGUGAAAUUAUGAUUCAUAAAGGAUGAAUCAGUCUUUCAUUCAAAAAUACUGAUUGAAAAAAUGUACAUAUCAAGUCAGCACUUUCUACGUUCCAGUCACUGAGCUAGACUCCAAGGAUGUGUCUGUGAAGAAGACAGACAUUGCCUGGCUCCAGGAGGUCUGCAACCUGGUGUGGGAGGCUCCUGGUGUGCUUGGGGAAGACCCAGGCAGAUAUUUAAGCUGGGGGUUUGAAGGAUGGGGUCAAGAGGCAGCCAGACAGAGUAUAUGCUGGAGAAUAGCUCCAGGCGAAAGUGACAGCCUAGAAGGGGAAAGCCCAGGGCAGGAACUGACGAGAAGCAGGGUUUGCUGGGACCUCCUGGGAGCCAGACCAGGCACCUGGUGCUUGGAGGACAGUGGCAAGGGCUUGGGUGUGCUUCUGAGUGUCCAUGGAAGCCAUCGGAGGUUAUGGGGCAGGGGAGGGCCGGGGCCAGUCUGAACUAUGAGAAGUUCCCCUGGGAAGUGCGCGGAGAGCUGGGGCCCCCGCAGGAAAGUCCCCCCCACACACACACCACAGCAGCAGCAGCAGCAGCAGCAGCAGCUGCGGUCAGGGGCAGGGCCAUGGCGUGGCCGCAGAGAAGCACUCAGGCCGGGCAAGUGAUUGGGGAGUAGAAAUAUGGAGGGAUGGACUGGGGGUGAGAGGACGGAGAGGAGUCACUCAGGACCUGGUAGGCUGCUGGUGUGAGCAAGUGGGGCGUGGCAGGACCUGGUAGGCUGCUGGUGUGAGCAAGUGGGGCGUCGAGGGGGGCGCUCGGGAAGUCACCGGCUCUGCCUCGGGGUCCUAGUGCCCAUCCAGAAGAAGGAAAGCUUAGCCGCUUGGAGAUCAGACAAGGGGUCUGGGUCCGCAGUGAUGGGGGUCACGGGCAUGCACAUGGGGGUGUAGAGGUAGAAGAGGGUAUAUGGGGCCAUUCAGGAGAGGAGUGGUCAGAGAGGAGGGGUGGAGGGACAGUGGUCACAGUCUCCCCUGACCUGGAGCGUGGAGGGAGAGAAGGGCUGACAGUGGAGAGGGUUCUGGCCGCCGGUCAGGCACUGUGCCUGACCGUGAAUGAAUUCCACCGCCAGCAGCCUCGGCGCAUCCUGGAUGGCCCUUCUGUGGUGAAUUGACUCUCACAGACUCCUCUCCUUGGCACUGUUGGGGGCUGCAGAGAGGAGCUCUGAGGAGAGGGCAGCAUCCAGCCUGGGGAGGAGCCGCAGGGACACUGGGGCAUCGUCUCCAGCGAGGUGGCCCAUCAGCUCCUCACUGGCUUCCCGCAGGCAGCUCACACCAGAUCCCAGCUCCUCUCCAUGAGGCCAGGGCCAGAUCCUGAGCCUUUCCUGACAGCGAUGUUGGGUGAAGUCCUGCAUGCCCUCCUUGCCCUGGCUCUCUCCUCCAGGCGCUGGUUUCCUGGUGGCUCAGGCUGUGUGCCACUCGAGGACACAGAUGGGCACAGCCAACUGUCAACUGAAAACCGCCAGUCUGCUUGGAAAUGUCCCCUAUCAAGGUGAAGGGCAGCCUGGUGCUGCCAGAGGCCACCAGGUGGCUGCGGGCAUGCCCUCCUCCUUCCUCCCACACCCCAGGCAGCACAGAGUCUCAUUUACACAGAUGGGCCAGGUCACGGCCCUGUGAAUGCCAUGCAUCGCCCCCAGAAAACGGCAGAGGCUUCUUCCCCCACAGCAGGAACAGCAGUCUGCAGUUAGGGCCUCGCCUCUGUUCCUGAAGCUGGCGUCUGGACCAGGGCCUCUCCAGGAUGGGGCUGGGGAAAGAGCCAGGCCUAGCUGGGAGGUCAACCACCUUUUGUCCCGAUGGCACUUUUUCAAAGGUAUGUCAGCCUGGUCUUUAAUGGAAAUACCAAGCCUCUUAGUGAGCAGCUCUGGCCCACAGAGCUUACUUACUGCAUGAGACACAGACUCGGAUCGAUGUCGCCAUGACUGGGUCUGGUGGACACCUAGAAAGAACCUGGGGCCGUCAGGGAGGAAGGAGUACAGACCCAGCAGCCCUCAACCCUCACUGAACAAACGGAGGAGGCUGAAGGGGAGGAACAUGGUGGUUUCCCCCUGAGCCUCCACAGGUACAGGUAACAUAAGAAUACACCUGAAAAUGGGGUGAAGGACUGGGUGUGUUCUGAGGCCCCAACUACAGCAAGGAACGGGUGGCUUUCUCCGCACGUGGACUUCCGUAACCCCCCCAAAUCAGUGCGAUUGGCCCCUACUUUUCUUGAGCUCCAGAUUCAUUUGUCCACCUGCUGCCCAGAGUCUCCAUGUGGAGAUACCAUACCAAACUAUCCAGAGCUGCCCUCACCGUCUCUCUCACAUGAUUCUGUCCCUCGGGUGGGCACCUGGCCACAGCCACAGGCCUGUGAGGUGCCCUCAUCCUCGCCCUUAUCUUCCAGAAAUGGCACGGAACUAGGUGUGGUCGAUGUUAAGUCCUGAAUGUCUCACAAGUCCUGUGUCUUCUGCCUCUGGGCUGUGGGUUUGAAUCCCGUUCAGCCAUGUGCUCCCUGUACCAUCUUGGGCAAGUGACCCUCGCUCUGCCUCUGUUUCUGCAUCUGUAAAAUCAGGGUAAUCAGCACACGCCUCCUACGGUGGUUUUGAGGACUGAGUUUUGUACCUCCUGAAGCGUCUAGAGCAGCAGGCACUAAGUCAGCAAUAGCUGCCUUGAUGAUGGUAUUAAACCCUUAGGACAGCAUUCAAGACUCCCCUCCCGGCCCCCUCCACACAUCCACACCUGACACACAGGGCACGCACUUCGUCAUUCUCUGACCGUGCCAUGCUCCAGGGCCUGUGGCUCCUUGUGCCUGGAUUGCACACAGCAAACCUUUUCCCCGGCUGGCAGUGAGCCCCUGAGGGCCACUGAGGGAGAAGACAGGGAAGCACCUCCUGAGCUGGCUCGUGAUUCACAGGUCACCCACAUUAGCACCUUCACUUGCAAAACCUCGCUGUGAGGCAGGUCUUCUUUUUGCCUUGCUUUUUGGGCAGGAAACUGCAGCUCAGUGAUUCUUCAGCUCCAAGAGCUGGUCGUGGAGCUGGAAUGAAGUCCAGGUGUGUGGCCUUCCGCACCGUCCGUGUGGCCUUUCACUGACUGUGCAAACCUCUCAUGUCGUUCAAGGGGAAAAACUAGAGGUCUUUGAGAGAGAGGACACGAAGAGUAUGUGGAAACCACUCCCUCAGUGGUGGGUUUGUAAUGUGUCCAUUUAGCUAAGCCGAAACGAGUUUCCAGGACUAAUGAAUUUGGGUCUCAAGUUGUCAGAGCUGCGAGGAGAAGCCAAGUGGCAGCCACAUGUAUCCUGGCAAGGUUUCUCUGAAUCUGGGAUCAGCCUGGGGAGCUCCCCAGUGGACUGCGCUGUCCCGUGGCCAGCCCCCAUUCUGGAAGAUGGAGGGCUCGGGGUGGCUCCACGGACUCCAGUGCUUCCUCAUGGGUUCCCACUUUCAGUCGGCCUUGACCUGCCCUGCUGACUCAGGGACAGUAUACGAGGCCUAAUCCCUCUGGCAAUCCUGCUGUGUCCCUCUGUGGUUGGUCCAGAAUUAGUUCAAUGGACAUUGGGUUACAUGGGUAAACAAGUGGUUGAAUAAAUCAAUGUUUUGGUUGCUUUGCAAUUCAAAUUGCAGGAGAACUAAAACUAAGGGAAGUCAUGUUUUCCAACCUCUCCUAAAGGACAGAUUAACGUAUUUAACAUGUUCUCCCCAAAGUCCCCUGUGGUCGCGGCUCUUUAAAGUAACAUAGAUGGCUCACGGUGUAGUGAUUAAACCACAAUCCGUAUGAGUUGAUGGUAAAGGGGUUGUGAAUUUUUAUGUGGUUUUGUGACUUUAUUUUAGGGUGUUGGUCCUCAUACACCCUCCUCCACGGGAGGGGCUAGGUGAUCCCCACAGGAAUCAGAUGUGCGUCCAUCAGACUUCUGCCUCGUGGCAGCCCUGUGGCUCUGGGCCACAGAGGAAUCUGAGAUGGAAGAAUGGCCGGCUGGGCAGCAACCACUCCUAUCAGGAAAUCUAAGCCAACGUUACGUCCAACUGAAAAAGCAAGCCAAGAGAACAAAAGCAGGUCUUGUGUAAUUUCCAGACUGCACUGUGGCUCCAAGCAGCUUUGUAUCACACAGACCAGUUGGCUGGUGACCGAGGCUCUGAGAGGCUCACCUGCUCCUCCCUCUCCCUGGCAGAUAUGCCCCCCCAGAGCCGCCAAGGAAGAGAACCAGGGAGGCCGGCGAUUGAGAAAGCUUGCACCAGGGCUGUGUGCACUCGGCCUUUUCUCCAGGGGUAAUCCUAACAUUUGGGCAGAUGCCUGGCUUUAGCCAAGAGCCUCGUCCAAGAACAUCAUGAUCUCAAUCCUUGCUGGCUCACUCUGCCUUUGGCCCCCCAGGAGCCUCCCAGGCGGCAGCAGGGAAGGGCACAGAGUAUCUCCUGACGCCCUGGGCCUCUCCUGGUUCCCAGCUUUGAGGAUGAAAGAGGGAGGAGGAACAGAGUUUGGCCUCAGGCCACCAGGGGCUGGUACCCCAGGGCUAGCUCGUGCUGUCUGGGAGAGUUAAACUGCUCAGAGCCUCAGUUUCCUCAAGUAUGAAAUGGGAGUGGCUCUGGCUGAGAUGUGUAUUUAGUGCCAGGCAGGCGGUGCUCUGUCAGUGGCAGCCUCACUUGGACAGUGGGACAGCAACAAGGCCGUGCAGUUAGUCAAGUGCAGGGGAAGAUGCUGUGGGGCCUCUGGGCAGAUUGAGUGCCGCCUAGAGGCCAGCCCGCCCUCCACCUGGGGCUUUCCCUGUUGGGAGUGACAGGAACACAAACCGGGGACAUGCAGAGGAAGGAAACUGACCAGAGUGUGUGGCACCUUUUUAUUUAGUCAGUCUUUAUUUAAAUGUGUGUUUUGAAAUAGCUUAUUAAAUAGGAUCUUCUCCAAGUUCAAUUCUCACAAUAUUUACAGUGAAUUUUGUGCAAACAUAUUUUGACUGUGAGCUUCUUGCUCCCCCCUUUCACGUUAAUAAUUUACAAAUUUGUCUCACACAAAACCCCAUCUACUUCAUUCAUGGCCUCUUAGGCUCUAGUUUUCUGUUUGACAGGUACUGAUCUAGGGUAAGGAUUUGUUGGCCAAGAGCUAAUUCACUCCCAGAGGAAAUAAAACAUUUUAUUUAUCAAAAAGGAAUUACAACAAGGCAUUGCUUUCCAAAUGGAAACAUGUGUCCUAAGAUGUUGCAGAACAGUAUUAGCAGCCAAAUAAAUCUCCAAUGAUUAUAGGGCUUCUCUCUCUCUUUUUGAAUGUUUACAGUCCUCUCUUUGAAUCAAAUCAGCAAAAUCAGAAAAGUCAAAUUCUAGGAGAGCCUGGACUGUCCGGGAAUGUUAUAAAAAUAAGCUGACUUCAGUCAGCUAAAGAACGAAGGUCCUCGAAUGCGCCGCCGGGUGGGGGUGGCCGUCCGCGCCGGCACUGGCCAGAGCUGCUGUGAGAGGUCCCACAGGCCCCUCUCCGUUGGCCUCAGGACUCCACGCUGGGCCCAGAACCACAUGGACCUGCGCCCCUGCCAAGAAGGGUGGACCCCUGCCAGGUAAUCCUUCACGUACAAAAGCGGCAGAGGGCACGGAGCCCAGAGGAGGAUCCCUGGAGAGGCAUCCUUCCCUCUCUGGUGGAGAAAUGCCCACUGAAGAACACGGCACGUUGUGUCAUAUAAGGUGUGGGUCCUGAUGGAAGGUGACCCCUCACGAUUUAGAAAGAUACGAAAAAUACACAUUAAUCAUUAUACCCCUAAUGUCUUGCAAAUAUAGCUUUAAGAUUUCAUUCCAUACACUUGAGGUCUAAAAACAAACCAUAACCUUUUUUGUUGUUGGCCCAUGCCUUUUUUUUUUUUUUUUAAA